rnacentral:rRNA from 1 species
GACGAACGCUGGCGGCGUGCUUAACACAUGCAAGUCGAACGGAAAGGCCCUGCUUUUGUGGGGUGCUCGAGUGGCGAACGGGUGAGUAACACAUGAGUAACCUGCCCUUGACUUUGGGAUAACUUCAGGAAACUGGAGCUAAUACCGGAUAGGAGCUCCUGCUGCAUGGUGGGGGUUGGAAAGUUUCGGCGGUUGGGGAUGGACUCGCGGCUUAUCAGCUUGUUGGUGGGGUAGUGGCUUACCAAGGCUUUGACGGGUAGCCGGCCUGAGAGGGUGACCGGCCACAUUGGGACUGAGAUACGGCCCAGACUCCUACGGGAGGCAGCAGUGGGGAAUAUUGCACAAUGGGCGGAAGCCUGAUGCAGCAACGCCGCGUGCGGGAUGACGGCCUUCGGGUUGUAAACCGCUUUCGCCUGUGACGAAGCGUGAGUGACGGUAAUGGGUAAAGAAGCACCGGCUAACUACGUG